AGUGAACGCUGGCGGUAGGCCUAACACAUGCAAGUCGAACGGCAGCACAGUAAGAGCUUGCUCUUACGGGUGGCGAGUGGCGGACGGGUGAGGAAUACAUCGGAAUCUACUUUUUCGUGGGGGAUAACGUAGGGAAACUUACGCUAAUACCGCAUACGACCUACGGGUGAAAGCAGGGGAUCUUCGGACCUUGCGCGAUUGAAUGAGCCGAUGUCGGAUUAGCUAGUUGGCGGGGUAAAGGCCCACCAAGGCGACGAUCCGUGGCUGGUCUGAGGGGAUGAUCAGCCACACUGGAACUGAGACACGGUCCAGACUCCUACGGGAGGCAGCAGUGGGGAAUAUUGGACAAUGGGCGCAAGCCUGAUCCAGCCAUACCGCGUGGGUGAAGAAGGCCUUCGGGUUGUAAAGCCCUUUUGUUGGGAAAGAGAAGCAGCAGGUUAAUACCCCGCUGUUCUGACGGUACCCAAAGAAUAAGCACCGGCUAACUUCGUG
rnacentral:rRNA from 1 species